AUUGAACGCUGGCGGCAGGCCUAACACAUGCAAGUCGAGCGAGCGGCGGACGGGUGAGUAAUGUCUGGGAAACUGCCUGCUGGAGGGGGAUAACUACUGGAAACGGUAGCUAAUACCGCAUACCAUCAGAUGUGCCCAGGUGGGAUUAGCUAGUAGGUGGGGGAACGGCUCACCUAGGCGACGAUCCCUAGCUGGUCUGAGAGGAGGACCAGCCACUCGGGAACUGAGACACGGUCCAGACUCCGACGGGAGUCAGCAGUGGGGAAGAUGGGACAAUGGGCGCAAGCCGGAUGCAGCCAGGCCGCGUGUGUGAAGAAGGCCUGCGGGUUGUAAAGCACUUUCAGCGGGGAGGCGUGACCAGCAGAAGAAGCACCGGCUAACUCCGUGCCAGCCGCCGCGGUAAGUC
rnacentral:rRNA from 1 species